GUGCCAGCCGCCGCGGUAAUACGUAGGUGGCGAGCGUUGUCCGGAUUUACUGGGCGUAAAGAGCGCGCAGGCGGUCGUUCAAGUCGCGUGUGAAAGCCCCCGGCUCAACUGGGGAGGGUCACGCGAUACUGAUCGACUCGAAGGCAGGAGAGGGAAGUGGAAUUCCCGGUGUAGUGGUGAAAUGCGUAGAUAUCGGGAGGAACACCAGUGGCGAAGGCGACUUCCUGGCCUGUUCUUGACGCUGAGGCGCGAAAGCUAGGGGAGCAAACGGGAUGAGAUACCAGUGGAGUAC
rnacentral:rRNA from 1 species